UCAAACUAUAUACUGCAUCUCACGUCCCCUAUUUGACAGCUCCUCGGUCCUCGGCUGAACCGAAAGUUGUUCUGUCCCUCCUCUGAGAAGGCCGUCUCAAAGCCCUUAUUUCUACCCCGAGGACUGCUAAAGGCACAAGGAAGGGAGGCACAUGGAGGAGCCAGGGACGCAAUUUAAGG